rnacentral:tRNA from 1 species
GGGCUAGUAGCUCAGGGGUUAGAGCACCACUCUUAUAAAGUGGGGGUCGGUGGUUCAAAUCCACCCUAGCCCA